GCCGAAGCGAGUAUGGUCCUGGCCUUUCUAUUAGCUCUUAGUAAGAUUACACAUGCAAGCAUCCCCACUCCAGUGAAAAUGCCUUUUAGAUCACCCGGAUUAAAAGGAGCAAGUAUCAAGCAUGCACAAAUGCAGCUCAAAACACUUUGCUCAACCACACCCCCACGGGAAAAAGCACUGAUAAAUAUUUAGUAAUAAGUGAGACUUUAAGCUAUACUGAUAUCUAGCAUUGGUCAAUUUCAUGCCAGCCACCGCAGCCAUACGAUUAACCCAAGCUAAUUGAGCUUGGUGCAAACAGUGCUUAAGGUCUGCCCUUAAUAAAGCUAAACUCCGUCUAAGUUGUAAAAAACUCCAGCUGAAAUAAAAUAUACUAUGAAUGUGCCUUUAGUAUCCUGAAGAUGCAACAGCUAAGACCCAAACUGGGAUUAGAUACCCCACUAUGCUUACCCCUAAACUCUAAUAGUUACAUUUAAAAAAAAUUCGCCAGAAUACUACCAGCAACAGCUAAACACUCAAAGGAUUUGGUGCUGCUUUAUAUCCCUCUAGAGGAUCCUGUUCUAUAAUUAAUAAACCCUGAUAUACCUCACCACCUCUUGCCCAGCCUAUAUACCACCAUCUUCAGCAAACCCUAAAAUGGUUAUAGAGUAAGCGCAAGUGUACACAUAAAAACGUUAGGUCAAGGUGUAGCUCAUGAGGUGGCAAGAAGUAGACUACAUUUUGUAUACCCAGAAAAUCUCACAACAACCUUUAUGAAAUCGAAGGGCUCAAGGAGGAUUUAGCAGUAAACCAAGAUCAGAGUGCUUGGUUGAAUAAAGCCAUGAAGCAUGCACACCCCUCCCAUCACUCUCCUCAAAUAUUAUUCUAGAAAUUACUAAAAACUCUCUAUGCACAUAUAGAGGAGAUAAGUUGUAACAUGGUAAACAUACUGGAAAGUGUGCUUGGACAAACCAAAGU
rfam:Gorilla gorilla gorilla genomic chromosome, chr8, whole genome shotgun sequence